rnacentral:rRNA from 1 species
UACGUAGGGUGCAAGCGUUGUCCGGAAUUAUUGGGCGUAAAGAGCUCGUAGGCGGUCUGUCGCGUCGGCUGUGAAAACUCGGGGCUCAACUCCGAGCUUGCAGUCGAUACGGGCAGGCUAGAGUUCGGCAGGGGAGACUGGAAUUCCUGGUGUAGCGGUGAAAUGCGCAGAUAUCAGGAGGAACACCGGUGGCGAAGGCGGAUCUCUGGGCCUUACCUGACGCUGAGGCGCGAAAGCUAGGGGAGCGAACAGG